UGUUUAUAAUUUACCUAACUUUAAUAUAUUUGUUUCUUUUUAAAUGUUAGAUUUUUCCAAGCUCCUAUAUGCUGCCUUCAAAACUAAACUGUAGGUAACUUUUGCCAUUACCUACAGAAUUCCCUCAGGCACCACAGAUCCUCUAGAAGAGUGUUUCCAGACUGGCUCCCAGAACUGCAGGAAAUAACUGGGGGGCUAUUACUCUACACUGCUCCUUAAAGAUGGCCCUACCUACAGUAGGAGGACCACACUGGUCAUUCCAGCCACUGCUACUUGCCUCAACAAGAGGGAAAGAAAGAAGUUCUGCCAUCUGGCAGGUCUCAGAGAAUUAUUUACAAGGCUGAUUGGGGUGAGAGUCAGUGCCUCAGCCUAGUUCAUGGACACCACCUCUGGCCCUGGCCCUGGCCUUCCAGGUUCUGGGGGGUGGGGGAGAAAAGAGAAAGGGGAUGCUGUGAUUGGCCUGAACCCAGGGUGGGGCUACCUAGAGAACAAAGGCCAAGAGAAAAGAGCUGCCCUCCUCCCCCAGACUUGGAAAGAAGUCACCCACCAAAUCUCCCAAUACAAGUAACCUGGUCCCCAUCUAUCAGCUUCCUUCCCCUUUAUUGUCUGGGAGAGGUACUCAGAAAUGAUAGCUGGAAGUGAGAGUGGCAUUCUGGAAGGAACUGACAAAUAGCUCCCAGGAAGGUCCCCUCUGCCCUUACUCUCUGAGAAGGGUUUCAGACCAGGCUGUGCUACUGCCAGAACAGGCACAAAACCAGAGAAAUCCAGGGGGAAGGGAGGGAGAGUCUCAGCCUCCAGAUUCCUGCCACUCUCUAUGGAAGGGGCUGGUUGAGGCUGUCUGUGCAUGGACUGUGGACCAGGAUAGGUCGUGACUAGAUGGGGGACCAGAGACAGGCUGGUAGAGAGAAGGGCGCAGGCUGCAGGGGAGAGAUGAGAACCAGAGAGAGGGAGUAGAUGAACCAGAAGAGAUCUGUCUGGGCUAAGGGCCCAGAUCGAGGAAGGGGAGGAAGCAGCCUAUAGAAAUGCAAUGGUCCUUCCUCCCCACCCCCACUUCACCCUGCUUUCCUUACACGGCUCCCAGAGGUCCCCAUGGUUGGGCUGGGCUCCCUGCCAGGCUCCAUUCCCUGGGAAUCCGGCGGAAUGGAUGUUUACCUCUUGCCUCCUUCAAAGAAGCUCUGCUCCUCAUCUCCACAA